rnacentral:snoRNA from 1 species
UAUGAUGACUGUUGUAUCCUGAUUGCUGAUGCUAUCACACUCCAGUCCUUCUGACC